rnacentral:lncRNA from 1 species
UUUAUUUGCUUGUGUAGAUUAGAUAAAUUUUGCCUACUAUGAUGAAUAUAUUUGGAAUCAUGUGUUAGGCUAUAAAUUGUGAAAAACUUGCAUGUUAGGGUUGAUUUAUGCUUAUUCAUGUGAAACUUGAUAUUUUUUAGCACAAUAUUUAUGUUUUACAUCAUGAAAGAAUAAUAUGAUUCAAUAGUUAAAUAGGUUGAAAAAAAAUACAUAUAUAGUGGAUCUUAGAUGCUAAAUUCAAACAACUACUAUAUUAUACACUCUUAAGCCAAAUUUAAAAUAGUUUUGAAGUGAUUGAACUGUUGUAGUGAGACACUGAAAUAAACGUGGAUUCCAUCUGUGCUGAAUUUUGUGUGGAUUGUCUAAAGCUAAUAAGAUGAAAAUUAUGUAAAAAUUCUAAGUUAGGGGUCGAUUUUUGAAAAUGAGUGAGUUAGGGGUCGAUUUUUGAAAAUGAGUGUUUGAUAAAGAACAUUGCACUAAUCAGUGUAUAAAAAAGUAAAAGAAAAAGUGUCCCAUUGUGAAAUGUUUCUUCGUAGCCUUUAUAACUUGAGUGAAUAAGCCUGUAAGAGUAAAUUUGGCGCCCUAAAAUCGUCUGACUUGGAAGUCAUAAGCCAAAAGCUUGCCAUAUGGGUCAUUUAAAAAGUUUAAUGGAGAUAAAUUCGCACACAAGUUUUGAAAAUAUAACUAUAUAAAAAAGAAGAAAAAAUGAUAGUUACAUGUCUUGAUUAAGUCCCAAACACUUAUUUGAGAAUUAGACUUUUAUCAAGAAAUUAUUAGCCUAAUUGAUUCUCGGGGGUUGAAGCAAUAAAAAAAUAACAAAAAUCAUCAUUUAUUGAUAUGUCGAACUACAAUUAGUAAAAUCUAAUCAAACUAGAUAGUUUGAGGACUAAUAUAUAAAUUUAACUUUAGAUCACACAUUGGAAAGAGAGUUAAAUAAAUAAGUUUGGGGGUGUGAAUUUCACGAGAUGAGAAAUGAUAAAUUUGAUAUUGAGGGUCAAGAUUUGAAUCACAUUAUGAAUUUUCACACACGCGCGUCAAUUUUGCAUGGGAUAAAUAGAAAUUAAUCUUAGCAAUGUGAAUUUGAAGUAGCUCAUAGACUUAAUACAUAUAUUCCAAUCUUGAGACCGAAAUCAAAUUAUCUAACCAAUUUUUAAAUUUUUUUGUUUUGUUUAAGUUAGGUUAUAAAUUUGUUUGAGAAUAAACAAAUGUUCAAGUUUGAGGGCGUUUAUUA